rnacentral:rRNA from 1 species
UACGUAGGGUGCAGGCGUUAAUCGGAAUUACUGGGCGUAAAGCGUGCGCAGGCGGUCUUUUAAGUCAGAUGUGAAAUCCCCGGGCUUAACCUGGGAACUGCGUUUGAAACUGGAAGGCUAGAGUGUGGCAGAGGGGGGUGGAAUUCCACGUGUAGCAGUGAAAUGCGUAGAUAUGCGGAGGAAUACCGAUGGCGAAGGCAAUCCCCUGGGCCUGCACUGACGCUCAUGCACGAAAGCGUGGGGAGCAAACAGG